rnacentral:rRNA from 1 species
UACGUAUGGUGCAAGCGUUAUCCGGAUUUAUUGGGUUUAAAGGGUGCGUAGGCGGGCUGUUAAGUCAGCGGUGAAAGUUUGCGGCUCAACCGUAAAAUUGCCGUUGAAACUGGCGGUCUUGAGUACAGACGAGGUAGGCGGAAUGUAACGUGUAGCGGUGAAAUGCUUAGAUAUGUUACAGAACUCCGAUUGCGAAGGCAGCUUACCAGGCUGUGACUGACGCUGAGGCACGAAAGCGUGGGUAUCAAAC